rnacentral:tRNA from 1 species
GCCCUCGUAGCUCAGCUGGUAGAGCAACCGCCUUGUAAGCGGUCGGUCGUCGGUUCGAAUCCGUCCGAGGGCU